rnacentral:rRNA from 1 species
CCUACGGGUGGCAGCAGUGGGGAAUAUUGGACAAUGGGGGGAACCCUGAUCCAGCCAUGCCGCGUGUGUGAAGAAGGCCCUCGGGUUGUAAAGCACUUUCAGUGAGGAAGAACGCCUGGUGGUUAAUACCUAUCAGGAAAGACAUCACUCACAGAAGAAGCACCGGCUAACUCCGUGCCAGCAGCCGCGGUAAUACGGAGGGUGCGAGCGUUAAUCGGAAUUACUGGGCGUAAAGCGCGCGUAGGUGGCUUGAUAAGCCGGUUGUGAAAGCCCCGGGCUCAACCUGGGAACGGCAUCCGGAACUGUCAAGCUAGAGUGCAGGAGAGGAAGGUAGAAUUCCCGGUGUAGCGGUGAAAUGCGUAGAGAUCGGGAGGAAUACCAGUGGCGAAGGCGGCCUUCUGGACUGACACUGACACUGAGGUGCGAAAGCGUGGGUAGCAAACAGGAUUAGAUACCCUGGUAGUC